UGUUACAUUGGCGGGAAAAAUAAACCUACAUUGAAACUUCAUUGAACGAAUUAGUCUUUGAAGAAAAAUGAAAAUGCAGAGGACAGUUUUAACCAGGAGAAGCUUCAAGGUAGCAGCUGCUGCUAGGAAGAAAUGCAGAGCAUCGAGUAGAGGCAAUCCGGAUAAGAAAAAAAGAUCGAGAAGUAUAAGAUCUCGGAUCAGAAGGUUGAGAGCUGAGAUGAAUGAAAUAGAUGAAGAGCAAAGAAAGAUAAAAGAAGGGCAAAGGCAAGUAAAAGAGAAAUCGGUAGCCAUUGAAAUAGAAUGUGAGGAACUUCGGAAAGAGGCUCUCUCAUAUCGCAACAAAGUGCAAGCACCCAAAUGCGCCUUGCCUUGAUGUUUCAAAUAUUGAAAGCAAGGGAAAACCAAGAGCUCGACAAGGCAGCCUUAUUCACUCGUGCUCUUCGUGGGUUGAUUGAGAGAGAAAAUCAACUAAGGAAGCUUUAAGGAUGUUUCUUCAUAUUUGAUGUGAAUGACUUUCAUGAAGAAAAUAAAUAAAUCUUAAACAUUUGAAUGGUGAUUAUUAAUCCAUAAUGAAUGACAAAGUAAUGGAUUGGAUCAUAAUUUAUUGUGUGUGGCUUAAUAUUGAAAAUUAAUAAA